rnacentral:rRNA from 1 species
AAGAGAUGGCGACCGGCGCACGGGUGAGUAACACGUAUCCAACCUGCCGAUAACUCCGGAAUAGCCUUUCGAAAGAAAGAUUAAUACCGGAUGGCAUACGAAUAUCGCAUGAUAUUUUUAUUAAAGAAUUUCGGUUAUCGAUGGGGGUGCGUUCCAUUAGUUUGUUGGCGGGGUAACGGCCCACCAAGACUACGAUGGAUAGGGGUUCUGAGAGGAAGGUCCCCCACAUUGGAACUGAGACACGGUCCAA